AGGAGGAGCCGGAGGUGGCAGCGGGGGGCUCUGGCCCAGGCGAAGGAAGGGCUAGAGAUGGUUCAGGCCGGGGGCGGCGACGGAAGGUGGACUGGACACCUCGGCUGGAGGAAGGGAUUGGGUGAAGCGGGUAAAGCCCCCACGCUCCUUGGGGAGUGGGCAGUUGUAUAUAUGGUCGCAGGGGCGGAGGCGGACAACCGGGGACUGCAGAACUGUCCCCGGAGCGGGACGCGAACCGGCAGAGUUGGGAGAAGAGCCUCGGCGCCCGGGAGCUCAGCAUGCUGCCCCCGCGUGCAGCACCCGCGUGCACCCAGCCCAGA